GGCCAAAUGGAAUCCGAAUAGUCCAGUUGCGAGGGGCGCGCCCCCACUUGCGCAAAUUGUACUCAUAAAAAUGACGACCGCCAUGCUCGCUCCACACCGUUGGCUAAGUGGCUACCGUAUGCAAUGGGGAGAAAUAUCAGACCUCUCAAGCUGCAGCUAUAGUAAUGGUAUCAUUAUUAAGUACUCCCCCUAUUCAUAAAACUGUUGUCCAUUUUGUACUAAGUACUUCGUUUCGUAAAAAAUUUGUACUAAGUGGAUAGCACUUUUUAUGAAUCGAAAUGAGUAAAUGCAAACGAAGAUUAGAUACGGUACGCCACACACAGACACAGCCAGCUGGGUGUCACGAACGCCAUUUCCAUCCAUCCGUAUAUAAACAAGAGAAAAGAUUCAGCAAUCCUGCAGUUUAGUUUAUGAUUGAGAAUCCCCAAAAGCUGGCCCUCUGGGGAAGAUAUUCGGGGGCCGUGGGUUCGUGGCGUAUCGCGGCGGGACAGCUAGGCGUGUCGCCGGUGGAAAAUUGAGAGGCGGUGGGGCUGGACCGUCGAUCGCCACCUUUUUCCGUUUUCUUUUCCGUGCAGAAGGGAAGGAAUUGGGGGCAGUGGGCGGGCACACGAGACGAGAGGAGCAGAGUGUCCCAAGGAGUGCCAAAGUGCAGUGCAGGUGGGCGGACUCGUGUCUCGUGUGAUGUGUGACGACGUCUCAUCGGUACAUUCCCCAACCGGAACCAGCAGUGUUUGCUCUCCUUCCUCUAACUUGCCUAUCAUGAGUGGAAUGGAAUGUGCUGAUAGCGAGAGCCUGAGGCUCCCGUGAAUUGCUUCCGAAAUCUAGAGUGUUAGGUAUCGUUGCAAACCGGGUCCUUUUUCCUCUCUUCUUCUCUUCUCUCUCCAGUUCGCUGUUGCUUGCUCCAACUUCCAAGUAUAAGAAACUGGAGAUAGAGUGAUAGAGUUGUGGAUCACAUUGUCUUGUGUUGCCCUGUUUUCUUGUCACGGCGAGCUAAACAGGACUACUCGUGAGUUAAACGGGUCAUGUACUUGCAGUACUUUUCAGGCAGAACUGGUCUCUUUUUUUUUUUUUUGCAAGGAGGAAGAAAUGAUCUUGAACUGAGGGGUGAACUUUAUUCAUGAAGAAUCAAAGUACUUCACACUAAGAAAAGCCUAAACCCUUUAUAUUAAUCACGCAGUGCAAAUCUAUGGACUAAUUAACUUCAUAUAUAUAUCACGAAAAGUAAAUUUUUGGAACAAACAAGAAUCUUUGCCUGCACUUAGGAAAAGGCAUAGACAGACAAUGCGAAAUUAUGUAACUUGGCUAGCUUUUACAGUUAAAGAUUAUGUAACGGGAUUUGCACACGUACUGAUUAAGACUAGACAUAUGCUAAUAUGCUAUUGUAAACACAUAGCAUGGCUAAUAGGCAUCUCUCUUUCUUUUGCAUUUGAGGUAAAGGAGAACAAAGAAAAUGCAAAAUCUGGCCUAGCAAACGCCUUAAGGUGGACACG
rnacentral:lncRNA from 1 species